GACGAACGCUGGCGGCGUGCCUAAUACAUGCAAGUCGAACGCAGUGGGGACGGGUGAGUAACACGUGGGUAACCUCCCAUCAGAGGGGAUAACACUUGGAAACAGGUGCUAAACCGCUACUGAUUGAUGUACCCGCGGUGCAUUAGCUAGUUGGUGAGGGAACGGCUCACCAAGGCCACGAUGCAUAGCCGACCUUAGAGGGUGAGCGGCCAAACUGGGACUGGGACACGGCCCAGAAUCCUACGGGAGGCAGCAGUAGGGAAACUUCGGAAAUGGACGAAAGUCUGACCGAGCAACGCCGCGGGAGUGAAGAAGGUUUUCGGAUCGGAAAACUAUGUUGUGAGAGAAGCGGUAUCUAACCAGAAAGCCACGGCUAACUACGUGCCAGCAGCCGCGGUAAUAC
rnacentral:rRNA from 1 species